rnacentral:rRNA from 1 species
AGUGAACGCUGGCGGCGUGCUUAACACAUGCAAGUCGAACGGUAACAGGAACUAGCUUGCUAGUUUGCUGACGAGUGGCGCACGGGUGAGUAAUAUAUAGUUAAUGUACCCUAAAGACUGGGAUAGCCACUGGAAACGGUGAUUAAUACUAGAUACACCUCUUUAAUAUAAGUUAGAGAGGGAAAUGUCUUUUCGCUUUGGGAUCAGACUAUAUCCUAUCAGUUAGUUGGUGAGGUAAUGGCUCACCAAGGCAAUGACGGGUAGCGGUUCUGAGAGGAUGAUCCGCCACACUGGUACUGAGACACGGACCAGACUCCUACGGGAGGCAGCAGUGAGGAAUAUUGCACAAUGGGGGGAACCCUGAUGCAGCAACGCCGCGUGGAGGAUGACGCAUUUCGGUGUGUAAACUCCUUUUAUAUGUCAAGAAAAUGACGGUAGCAUAUGAAUAAGCACUGGCUAACUCCGUGCCAGCAGCCGCGGU